GGGCUGGGGGUCCUCCAGGACAGGUUUGGGAACCACUGAUCUAGAGGAUUCUGCUGGAACCUUUUUGACAUUCUACAUGGUCUCUCUCUGUUCUGUCUGUUUUCUGUAGAGGAUGUACAUUGAGUUAGACCUUUGUUGAUAGUUUAUGUAAUAAUCAGCAAGCAGGUAAUGAGGGCAGACUCCCCCAUUACAUCAAUACUCCCCUUUUAUCUGCCAUAAUGAAAAGCACAGGACUCCAAAACUCACACCUUCAAGAGAAGUUCCACAAACAAGGAAAUAGAUGGGCUAGGAGAUAAGCCUGCAAAGACAAUCACCCUGACCAUUUGUGCAAGGGAAGAAUGAUACCAUUAGCAUGUCAUUGAGCAGACUAAUCCUAUCAUUAUUUUCCCCAUUGUUCACCUCAGUCCUUCAGUCCUAAAACCUGAGGUGUGAACCCCGCGCAGGUACUGCAAGUGCGGAUGGCCAAAGCCAAAUACUCCAGUUACGGUGGCCUUUAUCAAGUCAUGCUCUGUAAUUUUGUGCUGUAAAAGAAAAGUUUAACCUUUUUUUGUUUCAAGUUUAAAGUUGUGUUUAUUGAUACAUGCAUCAAAAAAUAAAAUAUUUCAUCAGAAAAAAAUACUAUGCUCUGUGUGUACAUUAAUAAUUAAUAAAUACAUGAUUCACAUGUGUUCACUUUACAUUAAGGUUCACUUUCACAGAUUAUUAAUGUUUGUAACUCAUGAAUAAAUGGUUCACAUGUGUUCACUUUACAUUAAGGUUCACUUUCAGAGGUUAUUAAUGUUUAUAACUCAUUAAUAAAUGGUUCACAGGUUUCCACUUUACAUUAAGGUUCACUUUCACAGGUUAUUAAUGUUUAUAACUCAUUAAUAAAUGGUUCACAGGUUUCCACUUUACAUUAAGGUUCACUUUCACAGGUUAUUAAUGUUUAUAACUCAUUAAUAAAUGGUUCACAGGUUUCCACUUUACAUUAAGGUUCACUUUCACAGGUUAUGAAUGUUUAUAACUCAUAAAUAAAUGGUUCACAGGUUUCCACUUUACAUUAAGGUUCACUUUUGGGCAAUGAAUCAGUCCUCCAAUUUGAUCAAAGGAAGAAUUUAUGUUUUGUUAAGAUGGCUCUGGUAGCAGCAAAGAAAUGUUUUGUCCUAUGUGCCUGUGGAAAAAAUAAUGUAUAAUUUGAAAAAAAAAAAAAAAUCAUGGAUGUUCGAAAAGAUUUGGGGCAAAUUUAUUGAAUAUUUGAAUAAUUUGGAUGUUACAUUGAUUGAAAAUGCUGAUGUGAUAAUGUAACCCUUCUUUAACAUUUUUUUUUUAAAGUAUUUAUAUAUUUAUUUUAUUAUUAUUAUAAUUUUUAUCUUACACAUCAGCUCAAGGGCUUGUAAUAAUGUCCAUGCAAGUGUUCUGUCUAUUGAGGGGUGGGACAAGGGUGAGAGGGUGUUUAGAAAAAAUAUUUUACUUGUAUACUGAACUGAUUCUGUAAAUUGUUCAUGUGAAAAUAAUAAAUAUCAAUUUCAUCUUGAUAAACAA